rnacentral:rRNA from 1 species
GACGAACGCUGGCGGCGUGCUUAACACAUGCAAGUCGAACGGAAAGGCCCUGCUUUUGUGGGGUGCUCGAGUGGCGAACGGGUGAGUAACACGUGAGUAAUCUGCCCUUGACUUUGGGAUAACUUCAGGAAACUGGGGCUAAUACCGGAUAGGAGCUCCUGCUGCAUGGUGGGGGUUGGAAAGUUUCGGCGGUUGGGGAUGGACUCGCGGCUUAUCAGCUUGUUGGUGGGGUAGUGGCUUACCAAGGCUUUGACGGGUAGCCGGCCUGAGAGGGUGACCGGCCACAUUGGGACUGAGAUACGGCCCAGACUCCUACGGGAGGCAGCAGUGGGGAAUAUUGCACAAUGGGCGGAAGCCUGAUGCAGCAACGCCGCGUGCGGGAUGACGGCCUUCGGGUUGUAAACCGCUUUCGCCUGUGACGAAGCGCGAGUGACGGUAAUGGGUAAAGAAGCACCGGCUAACUACGUG